rnacentral:rRNA from 1 species
UACAGAGGGGGCUAGCGUUGUUCGGAAUUACUGGGCGUAAAGGGCGCGUAGGCGGCCUUCUAAGUCGAACGUGAAAUCCCCGGGCUCAACCCGGGAACUGCGUCCGAUACUGGGAGGCUUGAAUCCGGGAGAGGGAUGUGGAAUUCCAGGUGUAGCGGUGAAAUGCGUAGAUAUCUGGAGGAACACCGGUGGCGAAGGCGGCAUCCUGGACCGGUAUUGACGCUGAGGCGCGAAAGCCAGGGGAGCAAACGGG